CUCCUGGAACGGGUGGUAAUGCCGGAUGCUCCGCCCCCUCGCAUGGGGGGGUCGGGAAGGCUUUUGCGGAAUGGGAUGGGGUCGCGUCCUAUCAGCUUGUUGGCGGGGCGACGGCCCACCAAGGCUUCGACGGGUAGCCGGCCUGAGAGGGCGACCGGCCACAUUGGGACUGAGAUACGGCCCAGACUCCUACGGGAGGCAGCAGUGGGGAAUAUUGCACAAUGGGGGGAACCCUGAUGCAGCGACGCCGCGUGCGGGAUGGAGGCCUUCGGGUCGUGAACCGCUUUUGAUUGGGAGCAAGCGUGAGUGAGUGUACCUUUCGAAUAAGCACCGGCUAACUACGUGCCAGCAGCCGCGGUAAUACGUAGGGUGCAAGCGUUGUCCGGAAUCAUUGGGCGUAAAGGGCUCGUAGGCGGUUCGUCGCGUCCGGUGUGAAAGCCCAUCGCUUAACGGUGGGUCUGCGCCGGGUACGGGCGGGCUUGAGUGCGGCAGGGGAGGCUGGAAUUCCCGGUGUAACGGUGGAAUGUGUAGAUAUCGGGAAGAACACC
rnacentral:rRNA from 1 species